rnacentral:rRNA from 1 species
UAGGGAAUCUUCCGCAAUGGACGCAAGUCUGACGGAGCAACGCCGCGUGAGUGAAGAAGGAUUUCGGUUCGUAAAACUCUGUUGUUAGAGAAGAACAGCGCAUAGAGUAACUGUUAUGCGUGUGACGGUAUCUAACCAGAAAGCCACGGCUAACUACGUGCCAACAGCCGCGGUAAUACGUAGGUGGCAAGCGUUGUCCGGAUUUAUCGGGCGUAAAGCGAGCGCAGGCGGUAAAUUAAGUCUGAUGUGAAAGCCCCCGGCUCAACCGGGGAGGGUCAUUGGAAACUGGUUGACUUGAGUGCAGAAGAGGAGAGUGGAAUUCCAUGUGUAGCGGUGAAAUGCGUAGAUAUAUGGAGGAACACCAGUGGCGAAGGCGACUCUCUGGUCUGUAACUGACGCUGAGGCUCGAAAGCGUGGGUAGCAAACAGG